rnacentral:tRNA from 1 species
CACCUUAGGCGCAGAGGGCAACGGACUGUUAAUCCGUGGGUCGCUGGUUCGAACCCAGCUCGGGGAGCCA